UUCUCUUUGCCUUCUGGCUUAGAUAAAGUGUAGUAACUGUUCUUAUCAGUUUAAUCGCUGAUAGCCCUACCUUGUAGGGCUCCGAUUAAUCUAAUUUUUCGACACUCGUGACUUGGCCUCUGUGCCUGCAUACGCCUCGUUGCACUGUGUCACUGGGCUUACACUGUCCCCGGUUGACGCGACUCAUU
rnacentral:snRNA from 1 species